AGAAAAGCCAAGGAAAGGCUGACAGAGAGUGAAACCUUGAUGAGACUGCAGCUGUUCCCCCAGAAUCCUUGCAGAGAGAAGAGGAAAUUUGGAUGGGAUGGAUGGAUUGCAGGAAAAGAAUCAAAAAAUAAACUGCCAAGACAGAAAGUUUCAGCCAAGAAGAGGUGAAGAGGAUCACAGCAAACACAGCAAUGCAGGGAAUACAGCCAUUUUCAGGCAGUUGACACAACUUGUCUUACCCAAAAGGGCAGAGACUGCUUGGGGAUCCUGAUUCACUGAUGCAGCAUUGAACCCC